rnacentral:rRNA from 1 species
UACGUAGGGGGCAAGCGUUGUCCGGAUUUAUUGGGCGUAAAGAGCGUGUAGGCGGCCAGGUAGGUCUGCUGUGAAAACUCGAGGCUUAACCUCGAGCUGUCGGCGGAAACCAUCUGGCUAGAGUCCGGAAGAGGAGAAUGGAAUUCCCGGUGUAGCGGUGAAAUGCGCAGUUAUCGGGAAGAACACCCGUGGCGAAGGCGGUUCUCUGGGACGGUACUGACGCUGAGACGCGAAAGCGUGGGGAGCGAACAGG